rnacentral:rRNA from 1 species
GAAAGGCAUCACGAGGGUUAUACUGUCUCCUUUUUCUAAUUAGUGAAACUAAUCUCCCCGUGAAGAAGCGGGGAUUUUUAUAUAAGACGAGAAGACCCUAUGGAGCUUUAAAUAAUAUAACAAUUGCUAUCUUACUCCUAUUAAUUUAUAGCAUCUGGCAAUAUGAUUAUUAGUUUUUGGUUGGGGUGACCGCGGAGUAUAACAUAACCUCCACAUUGAAAGGAUUAACGUCCUAAGCUAAAAGCAACAACUUUAAGCAUCAACAAAUUGACAUCAAUUGACCCAAUAUACUUGAUCAACGAACCAAGUUACCCUAGGGAUAACAGCGCAAUCUACUUUAAGAGCCCAUAUCGACAAGUAG